rnacentral:tRNA from 1 species
GGGCUGGAGCUCAGUGGUAGAGCGCUUGCCUAGCAUGUAUAAGGUACUGGGUUUGAUCCUCAGCACCACA